rnacentral:rRNA from 1 species
UACGUAGGGCGCAAGCGUUGUCCGGAAUUAUUGGGCGUAAAGAGCUCGUAGGCGGUUUGUCGCGUCUGUCGUGAAAGCUUGGGGCUUAACCCCAAGUCUGCGGUGGAUACGGGCAGACUAGAGGCAGGUAGGGGAGAACGGAAUUCCCGGUGUAGCGGUGAAAUGCGCAGAUAUCGGGAGGAACACCGGUGGCGAAGGCGGCAUCCUGGACCGACAUUGACGCUGAGGAGCGAAAGCUAGGGGAGCAAACGGG